rnacentral:rRNA from 1 species
UUAAAGAGCCGCGGUAUUUUGACCGUGCGAAGGUAGCAUAAUAAUUAGUCUCCUAAUUAGAGGCUUGUAUGAAUGGUCGGACAAGAUGGAAUCUGUCUCAACACAAUAAAUAAAAUUUAAUAACUAAGUAAAAAAGCUUAGAUAAAAUGGAGGGACGAUAAGACCCUAUAAAGCUUUAUGGUAUUUUUCUUUCUUAUAAAUUGUAUUGUUAUUAACUUAUUUUAGAAUUUUUAUCAUUUUACUGGGGCGGUAAAAGUAUAAUUAGAUUAACUGCUUUUGUUUUAAAUAACAAUUUUAGUUGGAAAUAAAUUGAUCCAUUAUUAAUGAUCAUAAGAACAAGUUACUUUAGGGAUAACAGCGUAAUUUUUUUUGAGAGUUCUCAUCGAAAAAAAAGUUUGCGACCUCGAUGUUGAAUUAAGGUUACCUUAAGGUGCAGCAGUUUUA